rnacentral:rRNA from 1 species
CCUACGUGAGGCUGCAGUGGGGAAUUUUGCGCACUGCUCGUAAGAGUGACGCAGCGACGCCGCGUGAAUGACGAAGGCCUUCUGGUCGUAAAGUUCUUUCGACAGGGAAGAAAAUGCCUAUAAGUAACUGUGUAUGUAUUGACGGUACCUGUAUAAGCAGCCCCGGCUAACUCCGUGCCAGCAUCCGCGGUAAUACGGAGGGGGCGAGCGUUGUUCGGAGUGACUGGGCGUAAAGAGCACGUAGGCGGUGUUGUAAGUCAUUAGUCAAAGACUAGAGCGCAACUUUAGGAAGGCUAGUGAUACUAUAAUACUAGAGUAUAAGAGAGGAGUGCAGAAUGCCUGGUGUAGCGGUGAAAUGCGUAGAUAUCAGGAGGAAUACCGUUAGCGAAGGCGGCAAGCUGGAUGGAAACUGACGCUGAGGUGCGAAAGCGUGGGUAGCAAACAGGAUUAGAUACCCGGGUAGUC